rnacentral:rRNA from 1 species
UACGAAGGGGGCUAGCGUUGCUCGGAAUCACUGGGCGUAAAGGGUGCGUAGGCGGGUCUUUAAGUCAGAGGUGAAAUCCUGGAGCUCAACUCCAGAACUGCCUUUGAUACUGAGGAUCCUGAGUUCGGGAGAGGUGAGUGGAACUGCGAGUGUAGAGGUGAAAUUCGUAGAUAUUCGCAAGAACACCAGUGGCGAAGGCGGCUCACUGGCCCGAUACUGACGCUGAGGCACGAAAGCGUGGGGAGCAAACAGG